rnacentral:rRNA from 1 species
GAUGAACGCUGGCGGCGUGCUUAACACAUGCAAGUCGAACGAGAAGUGAAGACGGAAACCUUCGGGCGGAAGGCUUUAUUUCGAGUGGCGGACGGGUGAGUAACGCGUGGGUAACCUGCCUCAUACAGGGGGAUAACAGUUGGAAACGACUGUUAAUACCGCAUAAGACCACAGCACCGCAUGGUGCGGGGGUAGAAACUCCGGUGGUAUGAGAUGGACCCGCGUUCGAUUAGCCAGUUGGCGGGGUAACGGCCCACCAAAGCGACGAUCGAUAGCCGAUCUGAGAGGAUGACCGGCCACAUUGGGACUGAGACACGGCCCAAACUCCUACGGGAGGCAGCAGUGGGGAAUAUUGCACAAUGGGGGAAACCCUGAUGCAGCGACGCCGCGUGAGUGAAGAAGUAUUUCGGUAUGUAAAGCUCUAUCAGCAGGGAAGAAAAUGACGGUACCUGAGUAAGAAGCCCCGGCUAACUACGUG